CAGGUAGCUGGGGUAGAAUAGGUACAGGUAGCUGGGGUAGAAUAGGUACAGGUAGCUGGGGUAGAAUAGGUACAGGUAGCUGGGGUAGAAUAGGUACAGGUAGCUGGGGCAGAAAGGUACAGGUAGCUGGGGUAGAAUAGGUACAGGUAGAUGGGGUAGAAUAGGUACAGGUAGCAGGGGUUGUGGUGCAGGUAGCUGGGGUAGAAUAGGUACAGGUAGCUGGGGUAGAAUAGGUACAGGUAGCAGAGGUAGAAUAUGUACAGGUAGAUGGGGCAGAAAGGUACAGGUAGCUGGGGCAGAAAGGUACAGGUAGCUGGGGCAGAAUAGGUACAGGUAGCAGGGGUAGAAUAGGUACAGGUA
rnacentral:lncRNA from 1 species